rnacentral:rRNA from 1 species
GCGCGAAACCUUUACACUGCGGGAAACCGCGAUAAGGGGACUCCGAGUGCCAGCACCUAGUGCUGGCUGUCCCGCUGUCCAAACCACAGCGGUUAGCAAGGGCCGGGCAAGACCGGUGCCAGCCGCCGCGGUAACACCGGCGGCCCGAGUGGUAGCCGCUAUUAUUGGGUUUAAAGGGUCCGUAGCCGGCUCUGUAAGUCUCUUGGGAAAUCUGGCGGCUUAACCGUCAGGCUUCUUAGAGAUACUGCGGGGCUCGGGACCGGGAGAGGUGGGAGGUACUCCAGGGGUAGGGGUGAAAUCUUGUAAUCCUUGGGGGACCACCGAUGGCGAAGGCAUCCCACCAGAACGGGUCCGACGGUGAGGGACGAAAGCUGGGGGCACGAACCGG